UUCGUCCAUCGAGAAGAAAUCAACGACACCAGCGGCGUGCCAGCGGGAACGUCUCGUGAACGUCGGCUGCGGCGGUGUUCUUGUGUGUGAGAAAGACCGUGCUGAUGCCAUGCCGUCCGGCGGUCCAAGCUACGGCAGCUACUGCUGUGUGUCGUGGUGCUUUGACAACGGCAGAACCCAGAAGAAGCCUAUCUUGACUUGGAAUAAAAACAUUGCGGAAA
rnacentral:lncRNA from 1 species